UACGGGGGGGGCAAGCGUUGUUCGGAAUUACUGGGCGUAAAGGGCUCGUAGGCGGCCAACUAAGUCCGACGUGAAAUCCCCAGGCUUAACCUGGGAACUGCGUCGGAUACUGGAUGGCUUGAAUCCGGGAGAGGGAUGCGGAAUUCCAGGUGUAGCGGUGAAAUGCGUAGAUAUCUGGAGGAACACCGGUGGCGAAGGCGGCGUCCUGGACCAAUACUGACACUGAGUGAGCGAAAGCCAGGGGAGCAAACGGG
rnacentral:rRNA from 1 species